UACGGAGGGAGCUAGCGUUGUUCGGAAUUACUGGGCGUAAAGCGCACGUAGGCGGCUCUUUAAGUCAGGGGUGAAAUCCUGGAGCUCAACUCCAGAACUGCCUUUGAUACUGAGGAUCUUGAGUUCGGGAGAGGUGAGUGGAACUGCGAGUGUAGAGGUGAAAUUCGUAGAUAUUCGCAAGAACACCAGUGGCGAAGGCGGCUCACUGGCCCGAUACUGACGCUGAGGCACGAAAGCGUGGGGAGCAAACAGG
rnacentral:rRNA from 1 species